UCCUACGGGAGGCAGCAGUGAGGAAUAUUGGACAAUGGACGAAAGUCUGAUCCAGCCAUGCCGCGUGCAGGAUGACUGCCCUAUGGGUUGUAAACUGCUUUUAUACAGGAAGAAACACUCCCACGUGUGGGGGCUUGACGGUACUGUACAAAUAAGGAUCGGCUAACUCCGUGCCAGCAGCCGCGGUAAU
rnacentral:rRNA from 1 species